UACGUAGGUGGCAAGCGUUGUCCGGAUUUACUGGGCGUAAAGAGCGCGCAGGCGGUCUUUUAAGUCGAAUGUGAAAGCCCCCGGCUCAACUGGGGAGGGUCAUUCGAUACUGAUCGACUUGAAGGCAGGAGAGGGAAGUGGAAUUCCGGGUGUAGUGGUGAAAUGCGUAGAUAUCCGGAGGAACACCAGUGGCGAAGGCGACUUCCUGGCCUGUUCUUGACGCUGAGGCGCGAAGGCUGGGGGAGCAAACGGG
rnacentral:rRNA from 1 species